CGUGAACUACGUAAAUUAAAGUGUAUAGGUACCCAAUGAACACGAUGGUAAUAUUACACGAGUAGUACGUAAUAAAAGCAUACACAUUUUUAUUUUUCAAAUGUCCAUUAUUAUUCAAAAUUGUUAAGGUAGGCAUAUUAAUGGUUUAUGGUUUAAAGCACAUUCUAAACGAUUCGAUCUCUAAAAAACGAUUUUAUUAUUUAAAAGUUGUACGACUAAUGUUUUCUACCAUACAUAUUGCUCCAAUAGAAAAACGACAAGACAUCAUUUUUGUUGCAUUUUAAAUUUAAUUCAUGAGUAAAUAAUUCGUUUUAGAUUCCGAGUGUAGUGAAGAAUGUAUUGGUUUAACUAAGAUGUUUACUUUGUUUAUUUUUUUUAUCCUGUGCACAAAAAUUCUACCAGAAUCUUGCUCAGAUAUAUACGCACGGCACCAUUUCUGAAAUGAAAUGUUAUCCAGAUGGUACUUUCAGGGGGUAAUUUUUUAAAUUUUCCAAGCGGUUUUCAUAAUAUCUGGGAAAAACCAGGAUGAAACGUAUG